GUAUUUUGUUUUGCAAAUUAAUGCUAUUACAUUCUUAAGACAAGACUGGUUGGUAAAAGUUUAUCGAGGCAUCGCUGCCUCGCGAGAGUGCACAGGGGGGUAAAUGAGAUAAGUAAAGAGCGUGCACAUGCUUAAAAAAGCCAGCACAACUCUUUAUAAACUCGAUAAUGAUCCUUCCGCAGGUUCACCUACGGAAA
rnacentral:misc_RNA from 1 species